GAUGAACGCUAGCGGCAGGCUUAAUACAUGCAAGUCGAGGGGCAGCACGGUUAGCAAUAACUGGUGGCGACCGGCGCACGGGUGCGUAACACGUAUACAAUCUACCUUAAACAGGGGGAUAGCCUUUCGAAAGAGAGAUUAAUACCCCGUAAUAAAUUGAACGGCAUCGUUUGAUCUUGAAAGCUCCGGCGGUUUGAGAUGAGUAUGCGUCUGAUUAGCUAGUUGGUGAGGUAACGGCUCACCAAGGCGACGAUCAGUAGGGGAUCUGAGAGGACUAACCCCCACACUGGUACUGAGACACGGACCAGACUCCUACGGGAGGCAGCAGUAAGGAAUAUUGGUCAAUGGAGGCAACUCUGAACCAGCCAUGCCGCGUGCAGGAUGACGGCCCUAUGGGUUGUAAACUGCUUUUAUACAAGAGAAAACCCUGGUACGUGUACCAGGUUGAUAGUAUUGUAAGAAUAAGCAUCGGCUAACUUCGUGCCAGCAGCCGCGGUAAU
rnacentral:rRNA from 1 species